GGACUCGUAGCUCAGUUGGUUAGAGCAGCGGACUCAUAAUCCGAAGGUCGCAGGUUCAAGUCCUGCCGAGUCCA
rnacentral:tRNA from 2 species